GGAUAUUGGCUGUUGAGAGCCAAGGAAUAGCACAAAGUGAACUUAAGCAUAGCAGCUUUCAUCCUUGCUCCAGGGAAAGCUUUCCCUAAAGUAACAACUCUGCUUUGUUAGGGGAAUGUUUCCCCCAGGGAAAGUGUUACAGUUCUGCUCUGCUCUGCUCCAAGGUGGCUCCACUGUGGCUAAUGUUCCCUCUCCGCUCUGUUCACUUCUGACAAAAGAUGGUCUCCUCCAAACCUCAUUCAAGAGAUUAUUUUCGGGGAAGAAUCUAGAAGCAUGACUGCCUCUGCCAGAAAGAAAAAAGGCAGUUACCAACUGAACAGGUGGGUGCUUGAUAGUGUAUACAUGGAAUCCUGUAUUUCAUUUCAUGAAAUUUCAGAAGGAGAUCUGUCCCAGACCAGUAACGAUUAAAGGACAGGGGUAAAUGGUUUUAAAUGGGAGGAAGUGUGGUGAGAACAGGAGUGUGUUUACUAUAACAGUAUACACUAUAGGAAACAUACCAAGUUCAAAGAAUUUAUUUUAUUUGAAAAUAAAAGUCAAAGAGAAUAAUUACUUUUGCCUUAAAUAAACACUACCAUUGGUUCAUA